AAUGAACGCUGGCGGCGUGGAUAAGACAUGCAAGUCGAACGGAAAACACAAUAGCUUGCUAAUGUGUUUUUAGUGGCGGACGGGUUAGUAACACGUGAGCAACCUGCCUCGAAGCGGGGGAUAGCCUUCCGAAGGGGAGAUUAAUACCGCAUGUGACCUACGGGUUAAAGAUGCCUUCGGGUGUCACUUCGAGAUGGGCUCGCGGCCUAUCAGCUAGAUGGUGAGGUAACGGCUCACCAUGGCAACGACGGGUAGCUGGUCUGAGAGGAUGAUCAGCAACACUGGAACUGAGACACGGUCCAGACACCUACGGGUGGCAGCAGUCGAGAAUCAUUCACAAUGGGGGAAACCCUGAUGGUGCAACGCCGCGUGGAGGAUGAAGGCCCUAGGGUCGUAAACUCCUGUCAUAUAAGAGUAAGGCAUAGUUGGUUAAUACCCAGUUAUGUUUGAUAGUAUUAUAAGAGGAAGGGACGGCUAACUUCGUGCCAGCAGCCGCGGUAAUACGAAGGUCCCGAGCGUUAUUCGGAAUCACUGGGCGUAAAGAGUACGUAGGCGGUUUGGUAAGUCAGGUGUGAAAUCCCGGAGCUCAACUCCGGAACU
rnacentral:rRNA from 1 species